GGUCCCAUCGUCUAGGGGUUAGGACACCGCUCUUUCAAGGCGGCGGCAGGGGUUCGAAUCCCCUUGGGACUACCA
rnacentral:tRNA from 1 species